AGCCUCACCCAGCCCUAUAAUGGAGGUAAUGUUGUCAUCUUCAAUUUCAGAUGAGGCAACGAAAGUACAGGGGUGAAGCAGCUUUCCAAGGACGUGGGCUUAGAGCAGCAGAGCUGGGAUUGGAUCCCGGGUGGUCUGACUCCUGCGGCCACUGCCCUCACCACCACACUCUACUGCCUGUGCUGGGCCCAGUGCAAAUGAUUUACAGGGAUUCUCUCACUAAAUCCACAUGACCACCCACUGAGGGUGACUCCCCACUCUGGUGAAGCAAUUAAGGACGCUUCCAAGUGCUGUGUGGCUGCCGGCAGGCUGCUCUGACCAGGCCCUGACGAGGAGAUGUUUCUGGGAUGGAUGUGUCAAGGAAAAAAAAAGGCUGAAGUUGAAAAAUUCCAACUCAGCACAUGUCCUCCAGCCCUUGGAGACGUGACAAGGGAUUAAAAUGCCUUUUCUGCUCAUUUGCCCAGCAUCUCAGGAGAAAGCUCAACUGCAUCCCCGUCAGGGCUGUUCUGGGCACCUGCUGGCAGCGACGAC